UGGGGAAUUGUUCGCAAUGGGCGCAAGCCUGACGACGCAACGCCGCGUGGAGGAUGAAGGUCUUCGGAUUGUAAACUCCUGUUGCCCGGGACGAAUAGCUUCGACCUAAUACGUCGGAGUAUGACGGUACCGGGUGAGGAAGCCCCGGCUAACUCUGUGCCAGCAGCCGCGGUAAUACAGAGGGGGCAAGCGUUGUUCGGAAUUACUGGGCGUAAAGGGCGCGUAGGCGGCCUGUUAAGUCGAACGUGAAAUCCCUGGGCUUAACCCAGGAACUGCGUCCGAUACUGGGAGGCUUGGAUUCGGGAGAGGGAUGUGGAAUUCCAGGUGUAGCGGUGAAAUGCGUAGAUAUCUGGAGGAACACCGGUGGCGAAGGCGGCAUCCUGGACCGAGAUCGACGCUGAGGCGCGAAAGCUAGGGGAGCAAACGGGAUUAGAUACCCAAGUAGUCCCUGAGCGGGCUGGCAAGGCGCAU
rnacentral:rRNA from 1 species